GCUCCGUUAGCUCAAUGGUAGAGCGUGAGACUCUUACAGUCCUUCUGACCGGGUGAGAGGCUUAAGGUUGCGGGUUCGACUCUCGUGCGGAGCU